UGCUCAGGUUUUUCCCAUUACUCUCUCCGAAUACCCUCUCCUUUUUCUACAAGAAAAUUAAACCUGAUCAUGUAUUACUUGUCUUUGGUGGCCUAUUAUGUCUUUUUUAAUGCAUGGAAAGUUCUUUAUUUUCUCUCUCUACUAGUUUUGGCUUCAUUUCACAUGUUUGUGCUGUCAAGAAGAAUGGGAAAUUUUCAAGAAUUAGCAGCUUUUGCUUGUGAGGAAAAGAUCUGGAAUAAUUUGUUCUGCCUGCAGUUUGAAGUGAACCCAGCAGCUGCAAAUACUUCAUUUUAUGAGGUUCCGCUGCUUGUUUCAAGGUUUAUUUGACGAUCCUUUUUGCUUUUUGCUUCAUCUAAUUUUCUUCUCCUAGACUUUUUUUUGGUAAAAGAAAAAGAAAAAGAAAGAGAAGACAAAUUGUGUAAUGAUGACAUAUAUGAGUGAAGUGAAGCAAAAGCUUAGUUCAUUGAUUCUCCUUAUUGGUUCAUGCAGUUCUCUGUGUGUGUGUGUGUGUGUGUAUACAUUCGACAAAUUAAUCGCAAAUUGAGAUGGUCAUAGUAUUCCAAGCAGCUUUUUUUUUUCUUUUAUUGGUGAUGACAUGAAAAUUAAAUAUUUUUACAUCUGUUGAAAUAGUUUUUGGAUAAGUAUGUAAACUUUCAUCAGCUCUAUAAAAAAAUCUUGGAUUCGCAUUGCCAUGCGGCAAAUAUAUAUCUUGUGAUGGUGUAACGCUUGUAGUCAUUUUGCAUUGUCAGCAGGAAGUAGAUUUCUUUCAAAGUUAUGGCCAUUAUCAUUUUCUCAUAAUUGAACGAACAGUAUAAUCCUUCGUAAUCAACCAAUUAACUCUUUGACUCUUUGGCUUUGGCUCCUUCAUGAAUGUGGAUGCUAUCCCAACUCUCAACUACCAAUCUCCAAUUCUCUUUUAUUAAAUAAAAUUGUACACAUGCUCCUAUAUUUUAUAUAUAUAUAUAUAUGUGUGUGUGUGUGUGUGUGGGCACCCUCAUUUUUUUUUUUAAAACAGACAUAUUGUUAAGCUAUACGACUUAAUAGAGUUAAUUUUCAAUAUAUAUACUAUAAAGUCGAGCUAUUUUGAUAGGCUUAAAAACUGACUUUAGUAAACUUCACGACUUAAAAUUAUGUUCUCAUAAAAAAAAUGAGGACGCACGCACUAAAGAAGAACUAUAUAUAUUUGAUAUAUGUAUAUAUGUAUAUAUGUAUAUGUAUAUGUAUAUGAGAUAAGUUCAAGAGACAUAAUUUUUUACAUAAUUUUAAACACAAUUUUUAGACUAUUAAAUUACAGAAUAAUGAAUGGUUAAGAUUUGUUAUAAGGGAAGACUUUUAACUCAGUUAAUUUCUUUUCUCCCUUUUAUUAAUUACUAAAUAUUUAAUUAUUAUUUUCUCCCUCUAUCUCUUUUUUUAAACUACUUCUUCCCUCAUAGUAAAAUUUACUUUCUAAAUAAUUUUGUAUUCUUUUAAUCUUGUAAUUGCUUAAUAGUGUUUAGGAUAAAACAAAUAACCCUAAUAAGAAACACGUCCACCAAAAUUUUCAUCAACACACAUUAAAAAUUGAUCUAAAAGUGAAAAGUUUCAGUUUUUGUGAAGCCUACAAAGUAAUCAUAAACUAAAUUAAGCACUCGUAGAGCCUCGAAAUUCUACAUGAUUACAAAUUGGACUAUGUUCAAAUCGAACUUUAAGAGUCAUUCAUAUGAAUUCAUAUUUAUUUUCAAUAAUAUUUGACUUUCUUUUGUCAAUUUCAACAAAAUUAAUGUUAAACAUAUCUUGAGUAGCUAUCUUUAAUUUUGAGGAAAGAAGAAGAGAAGAUGAGAACAGGAAAAAAAGAAGCAGAUGAAGACGAUGACCAGAGAAAAAAUAUAUAUUUUAUGGUGGAUAUUAAAAAAAAAAAAACACUACGGUCAUGAUAACAAGCUCAUGAUAACAAUCCAAAGCACAUGAUUUUAUGGUGCAACAAUUAUCUAAAAUGACUUCGGUCACCAGUAUCAAUUUGUGCACGUUUUCCCGCUCAAGCCAACCCAAUUUACGCAGCUAUAUAAUAACUCAACAAGAAAGCAUGACAAUUCAAUUAAAAGUUGAAGCGUUCAAUUAAAUAUAAAACCUAAAACUUUCGGGAGUUAAAUGAAAGACUUGCCCUACUAAGGAAAGUGAAUAAACUUAUUGCCAAAGAAUGAAAGCUCUCUUACCUCAUAACUAAGCUUCUGUUUGGGAUUGAAGUGCUGUAGAUUUUAAGUGAUAGUUGUUGUAGAAAAAAAAAAAAACUAUAGUUAUAAAACAAAAGUUAAUAAUAGUAAACAUAAAUUUUAAAUAAUAAUUUUGAUAAAAUUAUUAAACAUAUAAUAAAUUUUCUAUUAUACAAGUGAAAAAUCAACAUAACUCACGCUUUAGUGCUGUAGUUUAAAAGUUACAGCUGUCUAACUUUAAUCACAAACGCACCCUAACUACAAUAUACAAUAAAAUUUGUGCACAUAAGAACAUCACCUCCUUAAAUUCAUUGCUCCAAUUUUAAUUUUUUUUUUAAAAGACAGAAAAGACUUGACCCACAUUAUUUGUUGCAUCAAUCAAAUUAAUAAGUAAAUUACGUACACAAUUUUGGCUCUGCUAGAAAUACAGAUAUAUAACUGCACUCCUUGCUCAGGUUUUUUCCAUUACUCUCUCCUUUUUCUACAAAAAAAUAAAACCUGAUCAUGUAUUACUUGUCUUUGGUGGCCUAUUAUGCCUUUUUUAAUGCACGAAAAGUUCUUCAUUUUGUUUCUCUACUAGUUUUGGCUUCAUUUCACAUGUUUGUGCUGUCAAGAAGAAUAGGAAAUUUUCAAGAAUUAGCAGCUUUUGCUUGUGAGAAAAAGAUCUGGAAUAAUUUGUUCUGCUUGCAGUCUGCAAAUACUUAAUCUUAUGAGGUUUCAAUGCUUAUUUCAAGGCUUAUUUGAUGAUCUUUUUUGCUUUUUGUUUCAUCUAAUUUUCUUGUCCUAGACUCUUUUUUUUUUUUUCUUUUUGUAAAAGAAAAGAAAAAAGAAAGAGAAGAAAAAUUGUGUAAUGAUGACAUAUAUGAGUGAAGUGAACCAAAAGCUUAGUUCAUUAAUUCUCCUUAUUAGUUCAUGCAGUUCUCUGUGUGUGUGUGUGUACACAUUUGACAAAUUAAUCGUAAAUUAAGAUGGUCAUAGCACAAGCAGCUUUUUUCCUUUUAUUGGUGAUGACAUGAAAAGUUAAAUAUUUUUACAUCUGUUGAAAUAGUUUUUGUCAAAGUAUACAAACUUACUGUUGAAAUAGUUUUUGGAUAGAGUAUUAAUAUAGUCACAAAUUCUUGCAUAAAUUUAUUUUGUACAAAUUAAUGCGGCAUGAUAAAAUUGAUUGAAUUAAAUAUCUUUUGGCCUACAUAAUUUGUUUUUAUUAUUUUAUAUUUUCAUUCAACUAAUAAAUUAAUAUCAAAUCAAUUUGUAUAAAAUAAGUUUAUACAAAAAUUUGUAACUAUAUUAUCACUCUUUCUUUUGGAUAAGUACGUAAACUUACAUCAGCUCUAUAAAAAGAUCUUGGAUCGCAUAGCCAUGUGGCAAUAUAUAUAUUGUGAUGGUGUAACACUUGUAGUCAUUUUGCAUUGCCAGCAGGAAGUAGAUCUCUUUCAAAGUUAUGGCCAUUAUAAUUUUCUCAUAAUUGAAUUGAGCACUAUAAUCCUUCCAAAUCAACCAAUUAAAUCUUUGACUUUGGCUAUGGUUCCUUCAUGAAUAUGGAUGCUAUCCAAUUCUCAACCACCAAUCUCCAAUUCUCUUUUAUUAAAUAAAAUUGUAUAGUCCUAUAUUAUACACAUAGCUACCAUUUUUUAAGUGUGGGCGCCUUUAAUUUUUUUUUUUAAUAUAGAUAUAUUGUUAACUUAUACGACUUAAUAUAGUUAAUUUUUAAUAUACUAUAAAGUUAAACGGUUUAAUAGGCUUAAAAAAAUGAAGGCGCUUACACUAAAAUCAAAACAAUACCGACAACAUCAGUUGUUGGCGGUGUGUGGGGGUGUGUGAGUGAGACUGUGAAAGUGAGUGAGUGGGGCUGGAUAGCUACGGCUGGGGGCUGUGCAUUUGUGCCGUCGUUGUGGAAGUAGAUGAGAAGAGAGGAAUUACCGAAGAUUAAGAAUGGGCAAUCUGAAAUUUAUCUUAUGUUUAACUCGAUUAAAAAAAAUCAUAAAUAUUUUAACACACAAUGAUAACAUUUAGUUGAUUUUUUACGAAAUACAAAAAGCUCAAGUUUAUCAAACUCAAGCAAAUCAAAAUUUAAUGUGCCACAUCUACUCUCAAAUAUAUAAACCCCAAGAAAAAAAAAAAAUUCUCAAACUCCUCAACCAGACAAUAGUGGUUAGCAUGUCGUACCAAACGGAUAUGAUGUUACAAAGAUUUUUUAUAUCAAGGAGCUAGAUAAGCUGCAUGUGUUCCUGUUGAAGCCAACCCAAUUAAUAUGCAUAAUGUACAACGAAGCAGGACCCAUUCAAUUGAAAAUAUAACAAGUAAAGUUAGCUCAAUUUCUUAGCAUAUUGAAUGAAUGAUUGACUUCAAUUAGAAACAACAGACAAAAUCUUGCCAGGUAGGCCAGCCAGCCAGCCAGAUUAAUUAAUAAUUAUCAAUAAUGUGUGUUAAAUUUGCUGCGUACGUUUAUACAUCAGUCAUCAAUCUGUAACUUAUGAAAAUUAUCAAUCUUUCGUUGCCUCAAUCAAAAUAUGAAAAUUAUGUGCACAUUUUCUGCUAGCACUAUACUAUACAUAAAAAAAAAAAAAAACUUACUUGCCCGGGUUUUUUUAAUACAUAUUCUCUCUGAAUAAUACAGCUCCUUUCGCUUCAAGAAAAAUACAAAAUAAAAUAAAGUUGAUGUAUUACUUUUCGCUGGCAGCAUAUUAUGUGAUCUUUAAUGCAUCUAAAGUUCUGUAUUUUCUUUCUCCAUUAGCUAGUUUUGGCUUCAUUUUACAUGGGAAAUUUUCAAGAAUUAUUCGCAGGUUUUGCUUGUGAAGAAAAGGGCAGAAACAAUCAUUUGUUCUGUGCCAUGCACAGUAUCCUCAAUUUGAUGCAAUGUCAUAUGUGUGCCUAAAAAGAACAAUCACAGAAUCCUUAGUUGUAGAUUUCUAGUACUUAUUUAAAAUUCUUCGUACUUACAAGUUAAAUUAAUUAACGUCUCAAAUGCCUUGAGAUAGCUACAGCUAAUAAUUAAAUAAAUAUGAAGGCUACUUAAAGCUAAGUUUGGAUUGCAGAAGAAAUAAAAUGCAUAUUAGAUAUUAAGAGCAUCUCCAAAAGACUUUUUAGAUUUUACCCUUUAAAUAUCAAUUUGUUUACUGAUGUGGCAAAUAAGUGGAUGGAAACAUACAAUCUCCUUCAAAAGACUCAUCAAAUAAGAAAAAGUUAAUAUUAUUUUAAUCAAAUCUUUC
rnacentral:lncRNA from 1 species